GUUUAUCAGUUGGUCCGGCGCCAGUCCUCAGGAAGCCAGCGUGAAGAUCAAGUGUUAGUUGCAGACAUUUGUCUGCAUUUAUCGAUAAUGUACAAAUAUAUUUACAGUAUAGUUCUUAUACUGAUGGUCUUAGCAGCUGGAUCAUCACCCGCUCCAACAGCCAGGAACCUCUUGCCUUUGAUAUCGGGUGUCACCACCGGCUUAGAGGUCCCUACUGGAGUAUUAGCGGGUUCAGGAGUCGGAACCGGCUCAAUACAGUUCGUGAUAAAUGUACAUACAGACAGCAAUGGGAACAUAGAAGUGUACACUAAUUAAUGCCGUGAAGCUUAAGAAGAUAGAGAGACAAAUGACAAUGUAUUUAAUGUGUCUCAAGGAAUGAUUGAUGGUGCUAACGAUUGUAAUAUUAAAGAAGUAUUUAAAGUUAUUAAGCGAAGCUAUGAAGAUAAAGAUGAUAAUUAGAAUACUGAAAUAAACAAGCACACACAAGCGUACGUACAAGAAAAGAUUCCAAUUAAAUUAUCAUCAGAUAGUUAUGAAACUGCUAAUUUUUAUGGCAAUAGAAUCGAAUUUAUACUAAAAAGCGCUGAUGUAUUGAAAACUGGGAAGAAAAUACCAUUCAACAAAGUACUUUAAGAUAAGGAAGAUAAGAAACAUUAUGAUAAGGAGAAACGUGUGAACGUGUUGAGAGUGAUAGUGAAAGACAUUUUGAUAUGAAUGUGAGUGGAAUUUAUAAAUUGUGACAUAAGAUGAGACGUCCUAUCAAGCAGAAUUUAAUAAGUGACGCCAAUAUACAGGUCAAUAUAGAAGGUAGUAUAGUGCUUCUUGUGGGCAAAAAAACACGGUUUGUUCCCCAUUAGAGACCCGGAGAAUCUUUAUCAAAUUGACACCAUUAGUGAAUGUAUUGUACCACGUUGAAGAUAAGAGAAGAAAAGCGACGUGAGAUCUCUUGUCCAACUUUCCAAAAAUGGAGACUAAACACAACAGUGAAAGCAUUCAAGACAGAUCCAUUUCCCAAACCAAGUGAAUUUUUAACAUAUUUACAGCAAACUUUACUCAGGAAUCUAGAAUAAGCAAACUCUUAAAGAAAUACACUUAACAUUUUAUCACGAGAAGAUAAAAUAGUAAACGCGUUUGACGCUCAAGUGUCGCAGGAGAUAAAUUCACAUGGAGGAUUUGACGAAACCAAAAUAUUCAAUUUUAAAGAAAAAUCCCAAUAUUGGCUCAGAUUUUAAGAAUCACCACAUGAAGACAUUUCACUGGAUGCAAUUUAAUGUCGAAUUAUCAAUGUUCGGUGUACGAUCAAAUAUUUUAUACGUAACGUAUAUAAUAAAGUGGGAUAAUUUUGAAUCCUUCGACAGAAUCAGGUCCUAAACAGACAGAGAUAGAACGAGAAAAAUAAUGCCUUUUUUAACGAACUGCUAGACAAAAAAUCUCCUAGACUCAAAACAGAAAUGUGUAUAAAACAGAUAGAUAGAUGAAAUGCAGACAGUACAAUUAUUUAAAACGAUAAUCGUACAAAUACACAAAUUAAAAUUAGCACAUAGCGGUUUGUUGAUUGGUAGUCAACAUUAAUAGCCAGGAUAAUAGGCAGGAUUGUAAAACGUAUUAAUCUCUCGAAUUCCAUUAUCUCCUCUUAGCAGUCGAAUGUAUCAUAUUAUAUACUAGUAAUGGAACGUACAAACAUUGUAAAAUAUUACUACAAACAGGGUAAACCAUGUUCCGGAGCGGAGGACACGUAACGAUACAAGUUGCGAGCCUUGCAUCAGUGUGUUCCGUAAUCUACAGACGCGGCGAGAGAGCACGCAUGCCGUCGUUAUACAAAAUAUACACAUACAGUACUUGGUGUUCAUACUGUACCUACUAACGUGUACCGAUGUGGAAGAAUAGUUACAAUUGAAAACAUGAUGUAUUUCAGAUAAAAAUUUAAGUUGGGAGAAUUGUGUUUUUAUAUUUUUUAUUAAAACCUUAUUCAAGUCU